rnacentral:rRNA from 1 species
GACGAACGCUGGCGGCGCGCUUAACACAUGCAAGUCGAACGGAAAGGCCUGCUUUCCCUUGUGGAUUGCGGGUACUCGAGUGGCGAACGGGUGAGUAACACGUGAGUGAUCUGCCCCCAACUUGGGUAUAAGCCUGGGAAACUGGGUCUAAUUCCCGAUAGGACUGCAGGGUGGUGCCUGUGGUGGAAAACGAUUUUCUAGUGGUUGGGGAUGAGCUCGCGGCCUAUCAGCUUGUUGGUGGGGUAAUGGCCUACCAAGGCGGCGACGGGUAGCCGGCCUGAGAGGGUGGACGGCCACAUUGGGACUGGGAUACGGCCCAGACUCCUACGGGAGGCAGCAGUGGGGAAUAUAGCACAAUGGGCGGAAGCCUGAUGCAGCGACGCCGCGUGGGGGAUGACGGCCUUCGGGUUGUAAACUCCUUGCGACCGCGAGGAAGCCACCUGGUUGGAAGGGUGGUGACGGUAGUGGUAGAAGAAGCACCGGCUAACUACGU